rnacentral:misc_RNA from 1 species
CCGAGUUUACAACUCCCAAACCCAAUGUGAACGUUACCAAACUGUUGCCUCGGCGGGAUCUCUGCCCCGGGUGCGUCGCAGCCCCGGACCAAGGCGCCCGCCGGAGGACCAACCAAAACUCUUAUUGUAUACCCCCCUCGCGGGUUUUUUUAUAAUCUGAGCCUUCUCGGCGCCUCUCGUAGGCGUUUCGAAAAUGAAUCA